UCCCACAUACUGUGAUUGGAAACGAAGUUGAAAUGUUCUAUAAAAGUCUAAACCAAUGCAAGUUUUCUCGGCAUUGUGGAUCGAACAUGCUGAAACUUGUUCCAAUUUUUUUUUGGUUUGAUUUUCAAUCUUUUUUCUGGAUUAAGUCUCUAAAAUUGCAUGCAUUUGUAAAAUAGUACUAGGGAAAAUAUCAAGAGCCUACCAGAAGAAAUUGUUUCAGGUUUCCUCGGCAUGCAACAUCCUGCAGAAACUGUAAGAUCCGGUUCACCUCAGCACCGACUGACCUACCGAUGCUGACAAAUAAUUCGUCGGGCAAAACAAGGCGUGGCACUUGAGAAGAUGACCUGUUUCCAUGAAGCAAUUUACUAU